UGGCGAACGGGUGAGUAAUGCAUCGGAACGUGCCCAGUAGUGGGGGAUAACUAUCCGAAAGGAUAGCUAAUACCGCAUACGCACUGAGGUGGAAAGCGGGGGAUCGCAAGACCUCGCGCUAUUGGAGCGGCCGAUGGCAGAUUAGCUAGUUGGUGGGGUAAAGGCCUACCAAGGCGACGAUCUGUAGCUGGUCUGAGAGGACGACCAGCCACACUGGGACUGAGACACGGCCCAGACUCCUACGGGAGGCAGCAGUGGGGAAUUUUGGACAAUGGGGGCAACCCUGAUCCAGCAAUGCCGCGUGUGUGAAGAAGGCCUUCGGGUUGUAAAGCACUUUUGGCGGGAGCGAAACGGCCUGGGUUAAUACCCUGGGCUAAUGACGGUACCCGCAGAAUAAGCACCGGCUAACUACGUGCCAGCAGCCGCGGUAAUACGUAGGGUGCAAGCGUUAAUCGGAAUUACUGGGCGUAAAGCGAGCGCAGGCGGUUAUGUAA
rnacentral:rRNA from 1 species